UGUGUGUUAGUGGAAGCGUCUGGAAAGGCGCGCGAUACAGGGUGACAGCCCCGUACACAAAAAUGCACAUGCUGUGAGCUCGAUGAGUAGGGCGGGACACGUGGUAUCCUGUCUGAAUAUGGGGGGACCAUCCUCCAAGGCUAAAUACUCCUGACUGACCGAUAGUGAACCAGUACCGUGAGGGAAAGGCGAAAAGAACCCCGGCGAGGGGAGUGAAAAAGAACCUGAAACCGUGUACGUACAAGCAGUGGGAGCACGCUUAGGCGUGUGACUGCGUACCUUUUGUAUAAUGGGUCAGCGACUUAUAUUCUGUAGCAAGGUUAACCGAAUAGGGGAGCCGAAGGGAAACCGAGUCUUAACUGGGCGUUAAGUUGCAGGGUAUAGACCCGAAACCCGGUGAUCUAGCCAUGGGCAGGUUGAAGGUUGGGUAACACUAACUGGAGGACCGAACCGACUAAUGUUGAAAAAUUAGCGGAUGACUUGUGGCUGGGGGUGAAAGGCCAAUCAAACCGGGAGAUAGCUGGUUCUCCCCGAAAGCUAUUUAGGUAGCGCCUCGUGAAUUCAUCUCCGGGGGUAGAGCACUGUUUCGGCAAGGGGGUCAUCCCGACUUACCAACCCGAUGCAAACUGCGAAUACCGGAGAAUGUUAUCACGGGAGACACACGGCGGGUGCUAACGUCCGUCGUGAAGAGGGAAACAACCCAGACCGCCAGCUAAGGUCCCAAAGUCAUGGUUAAGUGGGAAACGAUGUGGGAAGGCCCAGACAGCCAGGAUGUUGGCUUAGAAGCAGCCAUCAUUUAAAGAAAGCGUAAUAGCUCACUGGUCGAGUCGGCCUGCGCGGAAGAUGUAACGGGGCUAAACCAUGCACCGAAGCUGCGGCAGCGACGCUUAUGCGUUGUUGGGUAGGGGAGCGUUCUGUAAGCCUGCGAAGGUGUGCUGUGAGGCAUGCUGGAGGUAUCAGAAGUGCGAAUGCUGACAUAAGUAACGAUAAAGCGGGUGAAAAGCCCGCUCGCCGGAAGACCAAGGGUUCCUGUCCAACGUUAAUCGGGGCAGGGUGAGUCGACCCCUAAGGCGAGGCCGAAAGGCGUAGUCGAUGGGAAACAGGUUAAUAUUCCUGUACUUGGUGUUACUGCGAAGGGGGGACGGAGAAGGCUAUGUUGGCCGGGCGACGGUUGUCCCGGUUUAAGCGUGUAGGCUGGUUUUCCAGGCAAAUCCGGAAAAUCAAGGCUGAGGCGUGAUGACGAGGCACUACGGUGCUGAAGCAACAAAUGCCCUGCUUCCAGGAAAAGCCUCUAAGCAUCAGGUAACAUCAAAUCGUACCCCAAACCGACACAGGUGGUCAGGUAGAGAAUACCAAGGCGCUUGAGAGAACUCGGGUGAAGGAACUAGGCAAAAUGGUGCCGUAACUUCGGGAGAAGGCACGCUGAUAUGUAGGUGAAGUCCCUCGCGGAUGGAGCUGAAAUCAGUCGAAGAUACCAGCUGGCUGCAACUGUUUAUUAAAAACACAGCACUGUGCAAACACGAAAGUGGACGUAUACGGUGUGACGCCUGCCCGGUGCCGGAAGGUUAAUUGAUGGGGUUAGCGCAAGCGAAGCUCUUGAUCGAAGCCCCGGUAAACGGCGGCCGUAACUAUAACGGUCCUAAGGUAGCGAAAUUCCUUGUCGGGUAAGUUCCGACCUGCACGAAUGGCGUAAUGAUGGCCAGGCUGUCUCCACCCGAGACUCAGUGAAAUUGAACUCGCUGUGAAGAUGCAGUGUACCCGCGGCAAGACGGAAAGACCCCGUGAACCUUUACUAUAGCUUGACACUGAACAUUGAGCCUUGAUGUGUAGGAUAGGUGGGAGGCUUUGAAGUGUGGACGCCAGUCUGCAUGGAGCCGACCUUGAAAUACCACCCUUUAAUGUUUGAUGUUCUAACGUUGACCCGUAAUCCGGGUUGCGGACAGUGUCUGGUGGGUAGUUUGACUGGGGCGGUCUCCUCCUAAAGAGUAACGGAGGAGCACGAAGGUUGGCUAAUCCUGGUCGGACAUCAGGAGGUUAGUGCAAUGGCAUAAGCCAGCUUGACUGCGAGCGUGACGGCGCGAGCAGGUGCGAAAGCAGGUCAUAGUGAUCCGGUGGUUCUGAAUGGAAGGGCCAUCGCUCAACGGAUAAAAGGUACUCCGGGGAUAACAGGCUGAUACCGCCCAAGAGUUCAUAUCGACGGCGGUGUUUGGCACCUCGAUGUCGGCUCAUCACAUCCUGGGGCUGAAGUAGGUCCCAAGGGUAUGGCUGUUCGCCAUUUAAAGUGGUACGCGAGCUGGGUUUAGAACGUCGUGAGACAGUUCGGUCCCUAUCUGCCGUGGGCGCUGGAGAACUGAGGGGGGCUGCUCCUAGUACGAGAGGACCGGAGUGGACGCAUCACUGGUGUUCGGGUUGUCAUGCCAAUGGCACUGCCCGGUAGCUAAAUGCGGAAGAGAUAAGUGCUGAAAGCAUCUAAGCACGAAACUUGCCCCGAGAUGAGUUCUCCCUGACUCCUUGAGAGUCCUGAAGGAACGUUGAAGACGACGACGUUGAUAGGCCGGGUGUGUAAGCGCAGCGAUGCGUUGAGCUAACCGGUACUAAUGAACCGUGAGGCUUAACCUU
rnacentral:rRNA from 1 species